rnacentral:tRNA from 1 species
GGAGGUAUGGCUCAACUGGUAAAGUACUUGCCUUGAAAGUAUGAGGCCCUGAGUUCAAACCCCUGUAUCACAC